AUGAUGCAUGUAUGUGUGUGUGUAUGUGCGUGUAUGUGCACCUGUGUAUGCACACAAACACACACAUACACAUACCUGCA
rnacentral:miRNA from 1 species